GAUGAACGCUGGCGGCGUGCCUAAUACAUGCAAGUCGAGCGAACAGACGAGGAGCUUGCUCCUCUGACGUUAGCGGCGGACGGGUGAGUAACACGUGGAUAACCUACCUAUAAGACUGGGAUAACUUCGGGAAACCGGAGCUAAUACCGGAUAAUAUAUUGAACCGCAUGGUUCAAUAGUGAAAGACGGUUUUGCUGUCACUUAUCGAUGGAUCCGCGCCGCAUUAGCUAGUUGGUAAGGUAACGGCUUACCAAGGCAACGGUGCGUAGCCGACCUGAUAGGGUGUACGGCCACACUGAAAGUGAGACACGGUCCAGAGUCUGACGGGAGGCAGCAGUAGCUAAGCGACCGCAAUGGGCGGAAGCCUGACGGAGGAACGGCGCGUGGGUGAUGAAGGGCUUCGGGUGGUAAAACUGUGUUAGGGGGGAAGAACAAAUGUGUAAGUAACUAUGCACGUGUGGACGGUACCGAUACAGAAAGCCACGGCUAACUACGU
rnacentral:rRNA from 1 species